GAACCAACCCUCCUGCAGGCAACAUGACAAGGCACUGCAUGAGAAAACCAGCAGCUGAUAUGUCUAUAGAGGUCAUUCUUUGCCACAAACAGUUCCAUGUUCGAUUUAACAGAGCUGUGUAAUUCACCCCAGGCAGAGCAUCAGAAACAGCAUGAAAAUAAGUCCAGUGGCUGACAUUUCCAUGGAGAUCAGGAUGUCCAGGAAACACUUCCACAUUUGAGACCACAGGAAAGGAUAACGCCAGUGAAGUAACAUGGCAGAGACUCCAGCCAUCAACAUGGACCCCACACAGUGCUACAGCACAACCUGCUUUCCUCAUCACCUGGCGACGACUCCGGAAAGGCUCUGCUUUGCUGCUCAGCAGCUCUGACCUCUCCCCAAGUACGUUUGUAUUACCAGAAAAUUAUAAAGCAUGUUUAUUCAAUGACUCAAA